UCUGUAGGUGAACCUGCAGAUGGAUCAUCACUGAUUCUUCUAACCUGGCAAAGGGGGACUGGGCGAAAGCCUGGUCUCUCUUUGCCGCAAGGUGUGGCUCCGCACCUUUUCAAACUAAAAUUGGGCUACCAUUUUUACACACGGUUGCAUCUGUCGGGGCUUCGGCGCCGACGUUUACACACACGUUGAUCUAUAGUAAUUUGUAUGGAUAAUGACUGGUAAUGCGGUCGUAUAAUCAAAAAACAACUUUUGGCAACGGAUCUCUUGGUUCUCCCAUCGAUGAAGAACGCAGCGAAACGCGAUAGGUAAUGUGAAUUGCAGAAUGUGAAUCAUCGAAUCUUUGAACGCACCUUGCGCUCUCCUGGACUUACAUCCGGAGAGCAUGCCUGUCUGAGGGCCGCGAAUUUCUUCGAGCGCCAGCUUUUUUUUUUCUGAAAAGCUUGACGGAUCGGUACUGAGGGUUUUUGCCAUUUGCACUGGCUCCCUCUAAAUACAUCAGCUGGACUGCACAUGCUAGAGGAAGGAUAUACGUCCCUCUCCCUCCGGAUUUUGAUAAUUAUCAAAAGUACGGACGUGAUGGAAACUUCUUGUCUCGACCAUGGUGGCUGGCUUUAACCCACCCCUGGAAUGAUAAAACAUUCCAUGGGGAUCUAUUUCAAACGGCCUCAGAUCAGGUAGGACUACCCGCUGAACUUAA
rnacentral:rRNA from 1 species